rnacentral:rRNA from 1 species
CGACCUACGGGACGCAGCAGUGGGGAAUAUUGCACAAUGGACGAAAGCCUGAUGGAGCAACGCCGCGUGAGUGAAGAAGGGUUUCGGCUCGUAAAGCCCUGUUGGUAGUGAAGAAAGAUAGAGGGAGUAACUGGCCUUUUUUUGACGGUAAUUACUUAGAAAGUCACGGCUAACUACGUGCCAGCAGCCGCGGUAAUACGUAGGUGGCAAGCGUUGUCCGGAUUUAUUGGGCGUAAAGCGAGUGCAGGCGGUUUUAUAAAG